GCAGUGGUGGUUCAGUGACAGAAUGCUGGCCUUCCAUGCAGGAGACCUGAGUUUGAUUCCCAGCCAAUGUA
rnacentral:tRNA from 1 species